AUUGAACGCUGGCGGCAUGCCUUACACAUACAAGUCGAACGGCAGCACGGGGCAACCUGGUGGCGAGUGGCGAACGGGUGAGUAAUGCAUCGGAACGUACCUUUCAGUGGGGGAUAACGUAGCGAAAGUUACGCUAAUACCGCAUAUUCUGUGAGCAGGAAAGCAGGGGAUCGCAAGACCUUGCGCUGAUUGAGCGGCCGAUGUCAGAUUAGCUAGUUGGUGAGGUAAAGGCUCACCAAGGCGACGAUCUGUAGCGGGUCUGAGAGGAUGAUCAGCAAAACUGGAACUGAGACACGGUCCAGACUCCUACGGGAGGCAGCAGUGGGGAAUUUUGGACAAUGGGGGCAACCCUGAUCCAGCCAUGCCGCGUGAGUGAAGAAGGCCUUCGGGUUGUAAAGCUCUUUCGGCCGGGAAGAAAUCGCACGGGCUAAUACCCUGUGUGGAUGACGGUACCGGAAUAAGAAGCACCGGCUAACUACGUGCCAGCCGCCGCCGUAAUAC
rnacentral:rRNA from 1 species